rnacentral:lncRNA from 1 species
CGAGCGGAAGGGACUUGUGCCCCAGAUCAGGCCCGGGUAGCCUGCUUCCCUAUGUACCGCAGUCUCAAGUUCUCCUCUUAUAUCUGAAUUCGGGAGAUGGAGACAUAGAGGAAUUUUAAUCUAAAAAUAUGGCUGUUCUGGCAAGGAAUAUAUCAAAAGACUUUGUAGGUCUGUCAGCCGGAAUGACACACCUUUAAUCUCUCUGGCUGGAAUACAGACAUGCCUUUAGCACAUACCUUUAACCCCAAACAAUGAUGUCUAAUUGAGUGGCAGACAAAUAAUGAAUCAGAGAAUGAUUUGACAGAAUAAGUCAGAGAUAGGGUAUGCACAACUCUCAAAGGACAGACAGAAAAGAGGGGUUACGUAAAGAGCACUGAAGGAUACUACCUGUAGUUUUCUUUGAUACAAAUGAUAAAUGGCCUUAUAAAGAAAAUAGGAAAACAACACCCUUUAUAAUAUUCACAAAUAAUAUAAAAUAUCUUGAUGUAAUUCUAACCACAUAAGUGAAAAAAAUACAUAUGAAAAGAACUUCAAGUCUUUCAAGAAAGAAAUAUCUCAGAAAAUUAAAAAAUCUCCCAUGUUAGUGGUUUGGUAAGAUUAACAUAGUAAAAUUGUCCAUCCUACCAAAAGCAAUCUACAUAUUCAAUGCAACACUCUCAAAAUUCCAACACAAUUAACAUGGAUUUAACAAAAAGACAUGGAAAAACAAUUUUCAACUUUGUAUGGAAAAAUAAAAGACCCAGGAUAGUGUUGUAAACAAUACUUAAAACUAAAACAACUUCUGGGAGGAAUCACCAUCCCUGGCCUCAAGCUGUACUACAGAGAAAUAGUCAUAAAAAUUCCAUGGUACUCAUACAGAGACAGGCAGGUUGAUAGAUGAAAUAGAAUUGAAUAGCCAGAAAAAAAAAUCCCACACACUUAUGGACACUUGAUCUUUGGCAAAGUACGCAAAAAUAUACAAUGGAAUAAAGAAAGCAUCUUCAAUGAAUGGUGCUCAUCUAACUGGCAGUCCAUAUGUAGAAAAUGAAAAUAGACCCACAUAUGUCAUCUUACAUAAAGCUCAAGUCCAAGUGGAUCAAGGAUCACAACAUAAAACCAGAUACACUGAAUUGAAAGGAAUAGAAAGUAAGAAAGAGCCUUGAACGCAUUGGCACAGAGAACAAUUUUCUAAACAACACCAACGGCUCAGGUUCUAAGAUCAUGAAUUGAUACAUGGGACCUCAUGAAACUGAAAAGCUUCUGUAACGCAAAAGAGACAGUCAAUAGGCAAAAUCAGCAACAUACAGAUUGUGAAAAAAAUAUUCACUAACCCCACAUCUGAUAGAGGACUAAUAUCCCAAAUAUAUAAAGAACUUAAGAAGUUAACCUCCACGAGACCAAGCAACCCAGUCAAAAAUGGGGUAUAGAGCUAAAGAGAAUUAAAAAAAAAAAAAGGCUAGACAGUGAUUUUUAAAAAAAAUAGCACUGAAGAAGGGGAGGAGUUCACUUCAGUUCAGAGAAGUUCAAUUCAGAGAAGUUUAAUGGCAGCCUUUCCAAGCAGAACAAUUCAGUCAGAAGCCGAGGCCAUUCAGUCAACUUGGCGAUGAGUUUGACCAGAAACAGCUGAGCUGAAGUAGCCAGCCAAAGUUCAGAAAGAGCUAGAAAUGGUAAGCUUAUUGAGCAGUAAGUCUUGUAGACUGAAACCUAAGCUAAGGCUGAAAGCUGAAGCCUUCAAGGUCUGGGCUUGCAGAUUACAUUGUAUGAAGGCUAGGUACUUACAGGCCUAGGCUUUGGGAUAGUUAGAUAAAAAUGUUCUGGCCUCUGCUCAAAUGCUCUGGCCUCAUGUAUUCAUAAGGUUGGGUACAGCUCUCAUCUCAUCACUUCAUUGGAGGAAAUAAAAGCAACAUUUACAUUUAAGGGAAGAUGUCUAGACAGCAUUCCUAUUGUACAUUGUAGAACCAGAGGUGUUUUCAUUGAUGGAAAAAGAAUCCAGCAGAGACAAUGAUAGGGUCUCAAGUUCCACAGAGCACUGAGCUCAUGUGUCAAAGGCCUUGCAGUGUGUGGCAAAGCUCAUUAAACUAUUGAAAAUAUUUCCUAAAUAUUGAUAAGUAGAGCCAUUAUCUAAGUUUCAUAAUAUAGAAUCAAAUCAUAACAAAUUAAUAUUUUUAAAAAUAUACUAUUUGAAUACUAUAACAGCACAUUUUUCUCAUUAUUAGAAAAGAUAUCGGUUCACAGAGUUUAUAAUCUUCUACCAGAAGGGAGACAAUUAGAGGAGCUUUCCAUCUGAGCCAAUGAGCUUCUCAACUACAGCACAACAUCACAAGUAAAUGGAGUAAGAACAGCAUGCUGCUCUAACCAACAAGUUAGCCUUCAGGUUCCAUCUAAAGACUCGUCUGCUUCCAUUAUCAAAGUAUGUAUAAAGCCAUAAAUAUAAUUAAACAUUUUCAUAUAUGGAUAUAUCUACAGUUAUUCAAAUUGAGUACCUAUGCAAAUAAUGGGGAACAGACCCAUAUUGACUGUUACAGGGAAACCUGAGGCAGGAAGGUUGUUUAAGCCCAAGAGUUCCAGGCCCACCAUGGCAAACUGAGGAAGACUGUGUCUUUAAUGUAGCAAUGAGGAUUUUAUAAUAAAGUAAAUUAGAAUUAAAAAUAUAUCUUAUUGUUCUUUUAGAUCGAAAUCCUUUUUUUUUUUUAAGGUUUUUUUGAGACAGGGUUUCUCUGUAUAGCCCUGGCUGUCCUGGAACUCACUUGGUAGAGCAGGCUGGCCUUGAACUCAGAAAUCCACCCGCCUCUGUCUCUUGAGGGCUGGGAUUAAAGGCAAUGUGCCAUUUAAUGAGCUUAUUAGUGUUUACAGGAAACAUUAAAGACUUUGUACUUGUGAGCAUCCUGGGCCUUAUAGUAAUUUCUCUACUCGCCUGAGCUCCCUUGGCUAGACACAAUCUGAAGGGGGUAUGAAGAAAGAAGAACUAAAUUCAACAAUCCAAAUUUUUCUCAAUGCUAUUGGGGGACUUAUUGUAGCACGGAAAUAUCAACAGGUGGCCGUGAAUGCAAAUGAUUGACAUUUAAUUUGUUUCUGAUCGAAGGAUGUGAACAUGCUUGCUAGGAUGGUGGCUCAUACAACACUUCACUUCUCUGAAAGAAUCAUAAGGCUGUGAAGCAGGAGUAUAUUGAAACUAUAUUUUAUUGUAUCCUUGGCUCUCAGAGAAAUGACUAUUUAAAAAUUCCCUAGAAUUGAUAGUAGGCUUUUUGUUGUUGUUAUAUUGGCCAGUGGAUGGAUAUUUUUUCAGUUGCCCACUCUGGCCAUUCUGGUGGUAUCCCUUUCCAGGGCUGCCCUCAAUUGAGAUAUUCCACUAAAGGUCCAGCUCAGCUCCCUCUUGCUUUUAUGCCAUUGUGUUUGGUCUGUCACAGACACUCAGAACAACUGCUGAGCAUCCUUCUCAUAAAUGUUUCAUAUACUUGAUGACAGUAUUUAUCCCUUAGUUUCCGCAUAUUUGGAUUUUAUUCAAUAUCCUUUUGGUUGAUGUGGAGGAAAGGGAGACAGCACUUAUGCUUCAUACUGCACAUUGCUGCCAGCACAAUGUGAAACACAAAUUGAUAAUGUCAGAUCCUGCUUGCAAUUUUCUAGUGAUUUCCCACUGUCUUCAAACUAAGCCCAACCAUCAUAACACAGGCCAAAAGAUCUCUCAUCCCAGACACACCAAAAAGAAAAGAAAAAAAAAAAAAGAAGAAGAAGAAGGAAAGAAAGACAAAAAAGAAAAAAAAAAGUAACAAGGCAUUCUGUUUUGAAACUCAGUUCCUUUGUGUUAUGUUAUUUUCUCUGCCUCCAAUGUACAUUUCUGUCUACUUCAGGUUAAUGACUACUCAGGCUGUGGUAGUUUUAAACAGCAGUUAAAUUAAAGGUUCCCUGUGCCCACAUGACAUAAUUAUUCACUUCUGCAGUUUUCUAUGUUAUUCUAUCUUCUUUGGCUCCUCUUGCAACCUUACAAUGUAAUUACAAAUUUACCCAUGUUUCUCAUACUUGAUGUAACACCCCUGAAGAUAGUGUAGGCCUAAAUCCUCAAAUCUAAUAAAAUGAUCACUGAUAAAAUAAAGGAUUCUAUCAUGACACCAGAAUUAAAGGGAUAGUGAAUACAAGAAAAUAUUAGAGUGCAGUCAAAGUGACAGGCUUAUUCCAUCAGAAUUCUGCUACAGUUCAAAUCCUAUCUCAUUAUCUUACUGUCCUACAUGCCUUUGCCAUCUCCAGGUGACAUGCUAGUAGGGAAAUAAAAAUAAAGAAGGAAUUGAUAUUUGUAUAUGUAAAUGAGUUCUACCUUAUUUAUUAUCCAUGAUUAUAUCAUAUAUCUAUAUUCUUGACUCAAGAGAAUUCAGGAUGGUUAGCAGUUUUACUGAUUAUAUUUUUCAUUAAGAAAAUAAAAGUCUUAUUAGCAAGAAGAAAAUCAGAUCCUAGAGGUCACUUUCUACAGAUUCUCUGGAUUCAGUGGCCCAAAGAAUAUUUACCACAUUUUAGGCAUUCAAUAACUAUUAGACACGUUUAUAACCAACUGACAUGGCUUCCUUCUCAGAGCAAUGUUUUUUUUUACCCAAAUACUUUUGGAUGUGUGGUAUUCCACUGAAACUUAGUUGACUGAACUAAGGCUUCAUUAUUAGAGAAACUGUCUUCAAACUCUAUCACUGUAAUUAACAACUGCC